rnacentral:rRNA from 1 species
CAGUAGCCGCGGUAAUACGAAGGGGGCUAGCGUUGUUCGGAUUUACUGGGCGUAAAGGGCGCGUAGGCGGGCGAAUAAGUCAGGGGUGAAAUCCCAAGGCUCAACCUUGGAACUGCCUUUGAUACUGUUUGUCUUGAGUUCGAGAGAGGUAAGUGGAACUGCGAGUGUAGAGGUGAAAUUCGUAGAUAUUCGCAAGAACACCAGUGGCGAAGGCGGCUUACUGGCUCGAAACUGACGCUGAGGCGCGAAAGCGUGGGGAGCAAACAGGAUUAGAUACCCGCGUAGUCCCUGUCUCUUAUAC